rnacentral:rRNA from 1 species
GAGGAUGAGGGCAUUGUCGACGCGCCGAAAGGAAGAGCGGGCAAUUACAGCACCAACGAUGACAAGUUACUAUGCAAUACUUAUUUGCAAGUGUCGAGGGAUCCAUCCAUUGAAGGUGAUCAAAGUAGAGAUGCGUAUUGGGGGCGAAUGAAAGAAUACUUUGAUGAUCACAAUGUGAGUGGAAUUGACCACUCCAAGAGAUCACUUCGGUCCCGAUGGUCCACAAUCAACUCGGAUUGUCAAAAGUGGGCGGCCGCAUAAAAGGUAGUUGACAAGAUUAACCCAAGUGGCACAAAUGAGGAUGAUAGAGUAAGUGGCAUCUCAUAUAUGUUCAUCUCAUACUUGUUUUUGGUGUCCGAAGUGCUAACUUGUUUUGUUUUUCUUGUAGUUCAACAUUGCACAAAACUUGUUCAAAGAAGAGACGAGGACAACCAAGAAGGGGAAGAUCAAGGAAGGAAGGGUCUUUACCUUGCCUCAUUGCUAUGA